rnacentral:rRNA from 1 species
GAAUGCUGACAUAAGUAACGAUAAAGCGGGUGAAAAGCCCGCUCGCCGGAAGACCAAGGGUUCCUGUCCAACGUUAAUCGGGGCAGGGUGAGUCGACCCCUAAGGCGAGGCCGAAAGGCGUAGUCGAUGGGAAACGGGUUAAUAUUCCCGUACUUGGUGUUACUGCGAAGGGGGGACGGAGAAGGCUAUGUUGGCCGGGCGACGGUUGUCCCGGUUUAAGCGUGUAGGUGUGUGUUCCAGGUAAAUCCGGUUCACUUUAACACUGAGGCGUGACGACGAGGCACUACGGUGCUGAAGCAACAAAUGCCCUGCUUCCAGGAAAAGCCUCUAAGCAUCAGGUAACAUCAAAUCGUACCCCAAACCGACACAGGUGGUCAGGUAGAGAAUACCAAGGCGCUUGAGAGAACUCGGGUGAAGGAACUAGGCAAAAUGGUGCCGUAACUUCGGGAGAAGGCACGCUGACACGUAGGUGAAGUGAUUUACUCAUGGAGCUGAAGUCAGUCGAAGAUACCAGCUGGCUGCAACUGUUUAUUAAAAACACAGCACUGUGCAAACACGAAAGUGGACGUAUACGGUGUGACGCCUGCCCGGUGCCGGAAGGUUAAUUGAUGGGGUCAGCGCAAGCGAAGCUCCUGAUCGAAGCCCCGGUAAACGGCGGCCGUAACUAUAACGGUCCUAAGGUAGCGAAAUUCCUUGUCGGGUAAGUUCCGACCUGCACGAAUGGCGUAAUGAUGGCCAGGCUGUCUCCACCCGAGACUCAGUGAAAUUGAACUCGCUGUGAAGAUGCAGUGUACCCGCGGCAAGACGGAAAGACCCCGUGAACCUUUACUAUAGCUUGACACUGAACAUUGAGCCUUGAUGUGUAGGAUAGGUGGGAGGCUUUGAAGUGUGGACGCCAGUCUGCAUGGAGCCGACCUUGAAAUACCACCCUUUAAUGUUUGAUGUUCUAACGUGGACCCGUUACCCGGGUUGCGGACAGUGUCUGGUGGGUAGUUUGACUGGGGCGGUCUCCUCCUAAAGAGUAACGGAGGAGCACGAAGGUUGGCUAAUCCUGGUCGGACAUCAGGAGGUUAGUGCAAUGGCAUAAGCCAGCUUGACUGCGAGCGUGACGGCGCGAGCAGGUGCGAAAGCAGGUCAUAGUGAUCCGGUGGUUCUGAAUGGAAGGGCCAUCGCUCAACGGAUAAAAGGUACUCCGGGGAUAACAGGCUGAUACCGCCCAAGAGUUCAUAUCGACGGCGGUGUUUGGCACCUCGAUGUCGGCUCAUCACAUCCUGGGGCUGAAGUAGGUCCCAAGGGUAUGGCUGUUCGCCAUUUAAAGUGGUACGCGAGCUGGGUUUAGAACGUCGUGAGACAGUUCGGUCCCUAUCUGCCGUGGGCGCU